rnacentral:rRNA from 1 species
GACGAACGCUGGCGGCGUGCUUAACACAUGCAAGUCGAACGGGAUUUAGUAAACGGAAGCCUCGGUGGAAGAUUACUAAUGAGAGCGGCGAACGGGUGAGUAACGCGUGAGCAACCUGCCUAUGACAGUGGGAUAGCCUCGGGAAACCGGGAUUAAUACCGCAUAAAAUCGUAGAAACACAUGUUUCAACGGUCAAAGAUUUAUCGGUCAUAGAUAGGCUCGCGUCUGAUUAGCUAGUUGGUGAGAUAACAGCCCACCAAGGCGACGAUCAGUAGCCGGUCUGAGAGGAAGAACGGCCACAUUGGAACUGAGACACGUUCCAAACUCCUACGGGAGGCAGCAGUAGGGAAUAUUGCACAAUGGGAGAAACCCUGAUGCAGCGACGCCGCGUGAACGAAGAAGGUAUUCGUAUCGUAAAGUUCUGUCCUAUGGGAAGAUAAUGACAGUACCAUAGAAGAAAGCUCCGGCUAAAUACGUG